GGACUACCUGCUGAAC
rnacentral:rRNA from 1 species